UGAAGGAUUGUGCGGAACUUGCCACCACGAAAACUCAGAGAAGCUCAAUGCCACUGAAAAGAGGCCGACAGCUUCUUAAAAAAAUGGAAGACUACGCUAGACCAUCAGAUCAAAUUGCUGAACAAACAGCGUACCAAAAUGCCUACGUUAUGCACUGUGGAACGCUCUGCGGAUGGACAGCUGUGGAAUCCACAAAGGUCAAAGAGGCUUUUGUUACAAGGGCUGGAGGUUCCAAAACAUCCAUGAAGCUGGGGAUAAAAGACGCAGAUUGACCAGCCCACGCUUUCAUCCACCAUUGUACACAGUAUGGCACGCUUUGGCACAAGUUCAGUUUGUUUAUGUUAUUGUUUAUUAGUUCAUUUCUCCAUGUUGUAUGAUUUAUAGAUUGUAGAUGAUUUAUAGAUGUAUUGUAACUCCUACUUCUCAACAGUUUCUAAUUGCAAUGUCUCCUCAUUUGCUCUAUUAUUUCUCCUAAGGAGAAACAAGUUGUAAAUGAGACUACACUCAAACAUAUAAGAGAUCUCCCGUAUUUCUCCUGCUACUCAAACUAAUAUCUCUUA